GUAAACGAUGAAUGCUAGGUGUAGGGGAGCAAUCCUCUGUGCCGCAGUUAACACAAUAAGCAUUCCACCUGGGGAGUACGGCCGCAAGGUUGAAACUCAAAGGAAUUGACGGGAGCCCGCACAAGCAGUGGAGUAUGUGGUUUAAUUCGAAGCAACGCGAAGAACCUUACCGGAGCUUGACAUCCACGGAAUCCCGGGUAAUGCCGGGAGUGCCCUUCGGGGAGCCGUGAGACAGGUGGUGCAUGGUUGUCGUCAGCUCGUGUCGUGAGAUGUUGGGUUAAGUCCCGCAACGAGCGCAACCCUUACUGUUAGUUGCUACGGAAGAGCACUCUAACAGGACUGCCGUUGACAAAACGGAGGAAGGUGGGGAUGACGUCAAAUCAUCAUGCCCCUUAAGUCCCGGGCCACACACGUACUACAAUGGCGUAAACAGAGGGGGGCAAGGGCGCGAGCCGGAGCAAAUCCCAAAAAGACGCCCCAGUUCAGAU
rnacentral:rRNA from 1 species